rnacentral:rRNA from 1 species
CCUACGGGAGGCAGCAGUGAGGAAUAUUGGUCAAUGGACGAGAGUCUGAACCAGCCAAGUAGCGUGAAGGAUGACUGCCCUAUGGGUUGUAAACUUCUUUUAUAUGGGAAUAAAAUGUUCCACGUGUGGGAUUUUGUAUGUACCAUCUGAAUAAGGAUCGGCUAACUCCGUGCCAGCAGCCGCGGUAAUACGGAGGAUCCGAGCGUUAUCCGGAUUUAUUGGGUUUAAAGGGAGCGUAGGUGGAUUGUUAAGUCAGUUGUGAAAGUUUGCGGCUCAACCGUAAAAUUGCAGUUGAAACUGGCAGUCUUGAGUACAGUAGAGGUGGGCGGAAUUCGUGGUGUAGUGGUGAAAUGCUUAGAUAUCACGAAGAACUCCGAUUGCGAAGGCAGUUCACUGGACUGCAACUGACACUGAGGCUCGAAAGUGUGGGUAUCAAACAGGAUUAGAUACCCCGGUAGUC